UAAUACAUGCAAGUCGAGCGGAUCUUGUCCUUCGGGAUAAGGUUAGCGGCGGACGGGUGAGUAACACGUGGGUAACCUGCCCAUAAGACUGGGAUAACAUUCGGAAACGAAUGCUAAUACCGGAUACGCGAAUUGGUCGCAUGGCCGAAUCGGGAAAGGCGGAGCAAUCUGCCACUUAUGGAUGGACCCGCGGCGCAUUAGCUAGUUGGUGGGGUAACGGCUCACCAAGGCGACGAUGCGUAGCCGACCUGAGAGGGUGAUCGGNCACACUGGGACUGAGACACGGUCCAGACUCCUACGGGAGGCAGCAGUAGGGAAUCUUCGCAAUGGACGAAAGUCUGACGGAGCAACGCCGCGUGAGUGAUGAAGGUUUUCGGAUCGUAAAGCUCUGUUGCCAGGGAAGAACGCUUGCGAGAGUAACUGCUCGCAAGGUGACGGUACCUGAGAAGAAAGCCCCGGCUAACUACGUGCCA
rnacentral:rRNA from 1 species